rnacentral:rRNA from 1 species
AUGCAGAUAAUUAUUAAGAGCAUGGAGCUUAUUCGUGGACCACGAGCAUUCGAGCAAUCAAUGGCCGCAGGCUUAGCCGAUGUAGUACAGGGGGUCAGGCAGCUUGAAGGUACGAGCUCCCUCUGGCGCGCCAAGGAGGUCGCUCCACUGGUCGCCGAUGUUGCCAACGAUGACGUACCCGGCGUCCUGCAGCUUCUUCCUCUCGGCGGACUUGUAGGAUAUCGCGGAGCCAUGGAACCCGGGCUGCUUGAGCGUCAGGUUCAUCCACCCGGAGAUGCCCUGGCUGCGGAGGUUGGCCACGGUGAUCGCCCUCUUGUCUUCCGUCCGGCCUGUGAUGAACACCGGCUUGAUGCCGACCUUGAGCAGCUUGUAGUACAGCCGCUUACUCUCCGGCAGCGCCGGCGCGGUCCCCUCCAGCACGUACGCGUCGAAGCUCGUCGCGUUGUAUGGCCUAGCCCUGCGCGUGUGUCCAAAGCCGUGCGUGGCGUAGUAAGGGAGGUUGGAGAGCGUGGUCUCGUCGAUGUCGAAGACCCACACCUCCUUGCCGUUGCCAGCGAGCUUGAGGCUGUCGACGUAGGCAAUGGCCUGGUCGAUGACGACCUUGGAGUCGCGCCGGAAGUGGCUGCCGAGCAUGUAGUGCCCCACGUAGCCCUCGCAGUUGGCAGGGACAGUCUUCCAGUCACGCACGUUGUACGCCUCCACGCCUAG